rnacentral:rRNA from 1 species
GACGAACGCUGGCGGCGUGCUUAACACAUGCAAGUCGAACGGAAAGGCCCUGCUUGCAGGGUACUCGAGUGGCGAACGGGUGAGUAACACGUGGGUGAUCUGCCCUGCACUUCGGGAUAAGCCUGGGAAACUGGGUCUAAUACCGGAUAGGAGCACAUUUUAGUGUGAUGGUUGGAAAGUUUUUUCGGUGUAGGAUGAGCUCGCGGCCUAGCAGCUUGUUGGUGGGGUAAUGGCCUACCAAGGCGGCGACGGGUAGCCGGCCUGAGAGGGUGGACGGCACCAUUGCGCCUGAGAUGCGCACCAGACUCCCACGGGAGGCAGCAGUGGGGAAUAUUGCACAAUGGGCGCAAGCCUGAUGCAGCGACGACGCGUGGGGGAUGACGGCCUUCGGGUUGUAAACUCCUUUCGCUAGGGACGAAGCUUUUUGUGACGGUACCUAGAUAAGAAGCACCGGCUAACUACGUG